rnacentral:rRNA from 2 species
GGGUUGUGAGGUUAAGCGACUAAGCGUACACGGUGGAUGCCCUGGCAGUCAGAGGCGAUGAAGGGCGUGCUAAUCUGCGAUAAGCGCCGGUAAGGUGAUAUGAACCGUUAUAACCGGCGAUACCCGAAUGGGGAAACCCAGUGUGAUUCGUCACACUAUCAUUAACUGAAUCCAUAGGUUAAUGAGGCGAACCGGGGGAACUGAAACAUCUAAGUACCCCGAGGAAAAGAAAUCAACCGAGAUUCCCCCAGUAGCGGCGAGCGAACGGGGAGGAGCCCAGAGCCUGAAUCAGCAUGUGUGUUAGUGGAAGCGUCUGGAAAGGCGCGCGAUACAGGGUGACAGCCCCGUACACAAAAGCGCAUGUGCUGUGAGCUCGAUGAGUAGGGCGGGACACGUGGUAUCCUGUCUGAAUAUGGGGGGACCAUCCUCCAAGGCUAAAUACUCCUGACUGACCGAUAGUGAACCAGUACCGUGAGGGAAAGGCGAAAAGAACCCCGGCGAGGGGAGUGAAAAAGAACCUGAAACCGUGUACGUACAAGCAGUGGGAGCACAGGUUUACCUGUGUGACUGCGUACCUUUUGUAUAAUGGGUCAGCGACUUAUAUUCUGUAGCAAGGUUAACCGUAUAGGGGAGCCGUAGGGAAACCGAGUCUUAACCGGGCGUUAAGUUGCAGGGUAUAGACCCGAAACCCGGUGAUCUAGCCAUGGGCAGGUUGAAGGUUGGGUAACACUAACUGGAGGACCGAACCGACUAAUGUUGAAAAAUUAGCGGAUGACCUGUGGCUGGGGGUGAAAGGCCAAUCAAACCGGGAGAUAGCUGGUUCUCCCCGAAAGCUAUUUAGGUAGCGCCUCGUGAAUUCAUCUCCGGGGGUAGAGCACUGUUUCGGCUAGGGGGCCAUCCCGGCUUACCAACCCGAUGCAAACUGCGAAUACCGGAGAAUGUUAUCACGGGAGACACACGGCGGGUGCUAACGUCCGUCGUGAAGAGGGAAACAACCCAGACCGCCAGCUAAGGUCCCAAAGUCAUGGUUAAGUGGGAAACGAUGUGGGAAGGCCCAGACAGCCAGGAUGUUGGCUUAGAAGCAGCCAUCAUUUAAAGAAAGCGUAAUAGCUCACUGGUCGAGUCGGCCUGCGCGGAAGAUGUAACGGGGCUAAACCAUGCACCGAAGCUGCGGCAGCGACACUAUGUGUUGUUGGGUAGGGGAGCGUUCUGUAAGCCUGUGAAGGUGUGUCGUGAGGCAUGCUGGAGGUAUCAGAAGUGCGAAUGCUGACAUAAGUAACGAUAAAGCGGGUGAAAAGCCCGCUCGCCGGAAGACCAAGGGUUCCUGUCCAACGUUAAUCGGGGCAGGGUGAGUCGACCCCUAAGGCGAGGCCGAAAGGCGUAGUCGAUGGGAAACGGGUUAAUAUUCCCGUACUUGGUGUUACUGCGAAGGGGGGACGGAGAAGGCUAUGUUGGCCGGGCGACGGUUGUCCCGGUUUAAGCGUGUAGGUGUGUGUUCCAGGUAAAUCCGGUUCACUUUAACACUGAGGCGUGAUGACGAGGCACUACGGUGCUGAAGCAACAAAUGCCCUGCUUCCAGGAAAAGCCUCUAAGCAUCAGGUAACAUCAAAUCGUACCCCAAACCGACACAGGUGGUCAGGUAGAGAAUACCAAGGCGCUUGAGAGAACUCGGGUGAAGGAACUAGGCAAAAUGGUGCCGUAACUUCGGGAGAAGGCACGCUGACACGUAGGUGAAGUGAUUUACUCAUGGAGCUGAAGUCAGUCGAAGAUACCAGCUGGCUGCAACUGUUUAUUAAAAACACAGCACUGUGCAAACACGAAAGUGGACGUAUACGGUGUGACGCCUGCCCGGUGCCGGAAGGUUAAUUGAUGGGGUCAGCGCAAGCGAAGCUCCUGAUCGAAGCCCCGGUAAACGGCGGCCGUAACUAUAACGGUCCUAAGGUAGCGAAAUUCCUUGUCGGGUAAGUUCCGACCUGCACGAAUGGCGUAAUGAUGGCCAGGCUGUCUCCACCCGAGACUCAGUGAAAUUGAACUCGCUGUGAAGAUGCAGUGUACCCGCGGCAAGACGGAAAGACCCCGUGAACCUUUACUAUAGCUUGACACUGAACAUUGAGCCUUGAUGUGUAGGAUAGGUGGGAGGCUUUGAAGCGUGGACGCCAGUCUGCGUGGAGCCGACCUUGAAAUACCACCCUUUAAUGUUUGAUGUUCUAACGUGGACCCGUAAUCCGGGUUGCGGACAGUGUCUGGUGGGUAGUUUGACUGGGGCGGUCUCCUCCUAAAGAGUAACGGAGGAGCACGAAGGUUGGCUAAUCCUGGUCGGACAUCAGGAGGUUAGUGCAAUGGCAUAAGCCAGCUUGACUGCGAGCGUGACGGCGCGAGCAGGUGCGAAAGCAGGUCAUAGUGAUCCGGUGGUUCUGAAUGGAAGGGCCAUCGCUCAACGGAUAAAAGGUACUCCGGGGAUAACAGGCUGAUACCGCCCAAGAGUUCAUAUCGACGGCGGUGUUUGGCACCUCGAUGUCGGCUCAUCACAUCCUGGGGCUGAAGUAGGUCCCAAGGGUAUGGCUGUUCGCCAUUUAAAGUGGUACGCGAGCUGGGUUUAGAACGUCGUGAGACAGUUCGGUCCCUAUCUGCCGUGGGCGCUGGAGAACUGAGGGGGGCUGCUCCUAGUACGAGAGGACCGGAGUGGACGCAUCACUGGUGUUCGGGUUGUCAUGCCAAUGGCACUGCCCGGUAGCUAAAUGCGGAAGAGAUAAGUGCUGAAAGCAUCUAAGCACGAAACUUGCCCCGAGAUGAGUUCUCCCUGAGACUUAGAGUCUCCUGAAGGAACGUUGAAGACGACGACGUUGAUAGGCCGGGUGUGUAAGCGCAGCGAUGCGUUGAGCUAACCGGUACUAAUGAACCGUGAGGCUUAACCUUACAACGCCGAAG